UGGGAAGUCCUCGUGUUGCAUUCCCCUUUUUAAAUAUAUUUUUGCGCCACGUGACAAGGAUGACGCGGGACCGUGAUCUAUAUGACCUCAUUUUCUUAUUUUUGACGAUUACUGUGUGACUUUUCCCACCGCGCUUGACACCCAACGACUAGGGGCAAGCAUAAGGAACAAAUAGAUAGUUGCAUGUCGGAUGCGAUCAUACCAGCACUAAA
rnacentral:rRNA from 1 species